rnacentral:rRNA from 1 species
UACGUAGGUGGCAAGCGUUGUCCGGAUUUACUGGGCGUAAAGAGCGCGCAGGCGGUCGUUCAAGUCGCGUGUGAAAGCCCCCGGCUCAACUGGGGAGGGUCACGCGAUACUGAUCGACUCGAAGGCAGGAGAGGGAAGUGGAAUUCCCGGUGUAGUGGUGAAAUGCGUAGAUAUCAGGAGGAACACCGGUGGUGUAGACGGCUUUCUGGCCUGUUCUUGACGCUGAGGCGCGAAAGCUAGGGGAGCAAACGGG